UUUCAAAUACGCAGUUUUAUUAUAAAGUCUUUGAAAUUAGAAAAUGAUUUGAAAAACGUGUUAAAACGAUGUAGAGUUCCGGGGUGGCGCAGAAAAAGACUCCGCUGAUCCACAUGCGACGGCGAUCGAUCGAAAAGAAGGGGCCGUAUCCCGUCUUCGAUCCCUUUUGUUGGUUGGGUAGAGUGUGUUGGUAUCCCUCGGUGAGUUGUGUGAAGUUGUACGUAUUGGUGUGCGGUGUUUUCGGGUGUGGAUGGUAUUGUUGUGGUAUGUUGGAAUGUAUUAGUGUUGCUUGUGAAAUGGUGUGUGGCGCUUGUACAGGGAUGUUCGCUGGGAAGGCUUAUAGUUCAUUUAGCCAAAAUGUUUAUUCUCUUCAUUAAACACAUAUACCAUAGAUAUAUAAUAUAUACCCAAGCUCUCCUAGUUUGAAAGCAAAUUUUAAAAUUUGAGGUCCGGCUUGAAUUUAGACAAUAAGAUCAAAAGUUUUCUGUUUCAAAAUAUUUUAUAACUUUUCAAUAAAUAUUCAUAUUUUACAGAGUUACUGAGCUCUCGAGUAAUGCGGUCAAUACUUAUCGGGUAAGGUCCACCAAUGAGUUACGUUUAUCACAAUCAUAACGUAUUUGCUAAAUAUGUUUAGUUCGUCGGUAGGCAUAAUGUUGUCAUUAUGCUCUCUAGCUACGUGACCAACUUUAAGACCAGAAAGUUUUCGGAAAUUGCAUUUUUUUCGAUAUUUGCGGUUUUCUUCAUCAUGAAUUCGUUCCAACGGGUCAAUAAAGACUAUUAUUUGAGCGUUUACGUAAACGGCCGGAAUUGUGGGCUAACAAUUUCUGUAAACUUUCUGAUCUUAAGCGAUUGAAGCUGUGAAAGAGGCGUCGUAUGUUGUUUGGGCAUACGUUAGAGAUGGACAUCGGCAAAAGAAAAUAUGCCAUAUCCUACAGGUUUUCUUCGAUAAAGGAGUGGGAUAACACGCUCUGAAGCUAAAAUCAUCGAAUCCUAUUAUUUUGUAAGCACUUAAUUCGGACUGGUACUCUAACUUUGUUUUUUUAAGUCGGAAAUAAUUAAAUAAAAUAUCUUAUAUAUGUUUGUCGUCUGAGUUUUAAGCUAGCCAAAAAGAUAUUCAACUAAAAAAUUUACUAUAUUCUGUUAUAAAGGUACUCAAAAUCCAAAAUACGAAUAUACUCUAAUCUCUCUCUUAUGUACUCACAUUGAUUAUGCUCUCUCCCCUUGCUGUGAUUAUGUGAGUUCCGUAAGCUCGAUGUGACACCAAUAUAAACAUUAUUAUUCAAUGAUGAUGACGGUGAAGUAUCUGCGACAUUUGAUUUUGUACGAUACACUUUUUUACUGAACCCUUGAUCUAUUUUUUCGAGGCAAGCAACCCAUUACAGUUGUAAUUGUUGUCAUUUUGUAAAUAUAUAAAAUACAUAUGUAUGUGCAAUAAGUCCACAUUGUUUAGAAAAACAUCGUAUGCAUACUAAUAUAUUGGUGUAGUGGCAUUCAUUCAUAGUUAAAAAAUAGUGUAAUUUAAGACAAUUCCCAGAACAACACGCGAAAAAAUGACAUAGCAACGGAAUAGUAAAUGAAACAAGUGGAUGCAUUAAAUUGUUGAAGGGAUUGCUGAGGUAAAUGAAGAACAGGCAGAGUGAACUAAUGAAUGUUAAGUGAAGCUUAAGGACUUUGAUCUGAACAGGAUGCUAUGGACCUAACUGUAUCUGGAUGGCUUGUUGUGAGAAGGAGGACAUGCGAGGAGUUUUGGAGCAGCGAAAUUAACUCAAAUGUAAUAGAUUCGUAAAUGCGUCAUCCCGAAUAUCCUCAAGCAACUCCUCAUGAUUUUUCAUCUCUACGGCGGAUAUGGCAAGAAAGCAGCGAUAAAUUGACACCAGUAAAGUCAUGACCCCAUCGCCAUAAAUUGCGCAAAGACAUCAUAUGUAAUAGAAGAAGAGUCCAAGUUGGUAGCAGCGUAGUUGAGGUGCAAUACGUAUAUUUUGGUUGUCACAAGCAGAUUUAUCAGAUUAUUGUUCGAUCAGUGAAUGAAAAUAAAGCAAAUAGAACACAAAAUUAAUUAGUGAAAAUAGUAGACAAGUAAUCAAUUUUCCAGAGGCUAGGAAUGGAAGUGUUAAGACAUACUGGAAUGGAUAUUUCCUUCUUAAUGCUGCAGAACAGUUUAUGAGCUUGGAGUCAAUAUUUAGUUUGGAUUUUGGAGAUAGUCCUGGCAAACGUAAAAACCCAGGAAUUAAGGUCAUGAAAUCGCUUAUAGACAACAUUCCAUUUCGCUGAUCUUUCAAAACAAAGAAAGCACUCUACGGUAGCAAGUUUAUAUAUCCAGUGACUAAGGUCAGGCUUGACAAUGUAACAGCUGCAAAUGCGAGAGAAACUUCUCCUAUGACGUAAGGCACAUAAGCAACAACUUCAACAGCGAUUGGAGUAUCAUACUACACAACUUAUAACCGCACACAUAAUUUGCUAUCUAAAAUGCAUAUUAAGUUAUUGACGCAUUUCAGUGUAAACAGUGGAAACUCAAACAGUGUCUUUGCACUGGUCUGCAAUGCCGCCGUCUAUCCACAUAUAACACGAUCCUAUAAAAUGAGGCUAUUAGAAAGCAAAACGCAAGGAAAUGAACAACUUAGUAAGUACGUAAGUUCGCAACGGAAGUACGCUUAAUGAGCUAUCGUCAGUACUGGGCAAACGCUUAGCGCGCAAAGUAAACCAAGAGGGAGUGGACGCUUUGUUGCUUUCUUGCUUUGAAACGUUAUAAUAUAUAUUCAGUAACUACUUAAUUGCAAAGCAGAGAACUGAAAUGAUCACCAUAUCAUGGAAUGGGAUUUGCUUAGGCAAGUAUCUCACCUGCCAUACUCUGCAGUUUUACAAGUAACUUCAAGAAUAGCGCGCGGUAACACAAAUUAAUAAUAAAGCGGACAAGUAUACGCCAUGGCGAAAAUUAAUGGUACGCAGAAACACUCUUCUAUUAAAUAAGCUCUGACCGUCUAGACCGUUAAUUUUUUCAUGGUUAUAGUGCACUGUACUCAACAAUUGUGAUUCAUUGCAGUUGCAGUAUUUCUUAUAAAGAUAUUUAGUUAGAAUAUUAUGGAAUUAGAAUUUCUAACUUUG